CCAGAGAACUUAGCAGAGAUGCUUUGGUGCCUUCGGGAACUCUGAGACAGGUGCUGCAUGGCUGUCGUCAGCUCGUGUUGUGAAAUGGUUGGGUUAAGUCCCGCAACGAGCGCAACCCUUAUCCUUUGUUGCCAGCGGCUCGGCCGGGAACUCAAAGGAGACUGCCGGUGAUAAACCGGAGGAAGGUGGGGAUGACGUCAAGUCAUCAUGGCCCUUACGGCCAGGGCUACACACGUGCUACAAUGGCGCAUACAAAGAGAAGCGACCUCGCGAGAGCAAGCGGACCUCAUAAAGUGCGUCGUAGUCCGGAUUGGAGUCUGCAACUCGACUCCAUGAAGUCGGAAUCGCUAGUAAUCGUAGAUCAGAAUGCUACGGUGAAUACGUUCCCGGGCCUUGUACACACCGCCCGUCACACCAUGGGAGUGGGUUGCAAAAGAAGUAGGUAGCUUAACCUUCGGGAGGGCGCUUACCACUUUGUGAUACAUGACUGGGGUGAAGUCGUAACAAGGUAGGCGUAGCGAG
rnacentral:rRNA from 1 species